AGAUGUUAAAAGCAAGAGACAUGGGAGAGCAUCAUUCCUUUGAGAUUUUAUAACUCAAACCAACUUUGGAGUUGUCUGAUUUGGAGAGUCAUUAUUCUUGGUCUUCGCUCUUAGAGGCCACUGAUGAAGAACAGGCGGUGACUGGGAUGAAUGCUGGUCAGAGAGGAGAAACUUUCCCCUAAACAGCGGUGGUUUUAAAGGAGGACGCUGCCCUGGAUGAUGUAGAAGAUGUCAGAUGCUGUGCUGAUGGGGCUUCUUCAUGAUUACAUCAGUUAUGCUAAAGAGAUCAUGAAAAUUGACUGUGAUGCAUGAUCUGUAUUCAUGGACUAUGAAACAAACUGUAAGUGCAUAAUUUGUUUAAAAAAAAAAAAAAGUUAAAUGCUUUUUCUGUGUUGUU